AGAAAAUGAUAUUGAGCCAAAGAUGACUUGCUGACUAACCAACCAAUCUAAAACUGGUAUUGGUGAACGGCAAGUUGACUUUGGUUCUGUUUCCUUCUCU
rfam:Brassica napus, WGS project CCCW01000000 data, contig: 16115